AUGGAGGAGGGGGAGACCCUUGUCCACCACUCCCUGAAGAGACUCCGACGCCUUGGGUCGCUGAAGGGCGUAGAGGGCUCGGCUUCAACAUGGAAGGAUGUAGAAGAUCCCACGCCGAGCCCCCAGCUCAGCCCCCGGCCUGGGAGUGGAGAUUGGACCCCACCCGCCGAAGAUGAUGGAGACAGUCCUUCUGCCCCCUCGCGUGAAGGAGGGGGUGAGGUAACGCAGAGCGAGCCACUUCUUGAGGAGCAUGUCUCCCCUGCCGCCCAAGCUGAAGAUGUCGUCAUGGAAUCCUCCGUGGCAGAGAUGGCGCAGAAGGCUGCCAAGUCUACCCCGACAGAGGACGAGGCUCGCGACCCGGCAACGACUGCUGCAGGCGAAACAGAGACCCCUGCCUGGCAGACUUCCCCAGGUAUCUUGCUUAAUUCUUCUUUUCUUUUAUACUCUAGCUGCCUCCACUGGCUUCUGUAUUUGCUUCGAGACUUCCAUCCUUCUGUUUGUUAA
rnacentral:rRNA from 1 species